ACGGUAGCACAGAGAGCUUGCUCUCGGGUGACGAGUGGCGGACGGGUGAGUAAUGUCUGGGAAACUGCCUGAUGGAGGGGGAUAACUACUGGAAACGGUAGCUAAUACCGCAUAACGUCGCAAGACCAAAGAGGGGGACCUUCGGGCCUCUUGCCAUCAGAUGUGCCCAGAUGGGAUUAGCUAGUAGGUGGGGUAACGGCUCACCUAGGCGACGAUCCCUAGCUGGUCUGAGAGGAUGACCAGCCACACUGGAACUGAGACACGGUCCAGACUCCUACGGGAGGCAGCAGUGGGGAAUAUUGCACAAUGGGCGCAAGCCUGAUGCAGCCAUGCCGCGUGUAUGAAGAAGGCCUUCGGGUUGUAAAGUACUUUCAGCGGGGAGGAAGGUGUUGUGGUUAAUAACCACAGCAAUUGACGUUACCCGCANAAGAAGCACCGGCUAACUCCGUGCCAGCAGCCGCGGUAAUACGGAGGGUGCAAGCGUUAAUCGGAAUUACUGGGCGUAAAGCGCACGCAGGCGGUCUGUCAAGUCGGAUGUGAAAUCCCCGGGCUCAACCUGGGAACUGCAUUCGAAACUGGCAGGCUAGAGUCUUGUAGAGGGGGGUAGAAUUCCAGGUGUAGCGGUGAAAUGCGUAGAGAUCUGGGAGGAAUACCGGUGGCGAAG
rnacentral:rRNA from 1 species